GACGUAGGGCGCGAGCGUUGUCCGGAUUUAUUGGGCGUAAAGAGCUCGUAGGCGGCUUGUCGCGUCGACUGUGAAAUCCCGCGGCUCAACCGCGGGUCUGCAGUCGAUACGGGCAGGCUAGAGUUCGGUAGGGGAGACUGGAAUUCCUGGUGUAGCGGUGAAAUGCGCAGAUAUCAGGAGGAACACCGAUGGCGAAGGCAGGUCUCUGGGCAUUAACUGACGCUGAGGAGCGAAAGCGUGGGGAGCGAACAGG
rnacentral:rRNA from 1 species